rnacentral:rRNA from 1 species
UACGUAGGGACCAAGCGUUGUUCGGAUUUACUGGGCGUAAAGGGCGCGUAGGCGGCCAGGUAGGUCGGUUGUGAAAACUGGAGGCUCAACCUUCAGAGGUCGACCGAAACCAUCUGGCUAGAGUCCGGGAGAGGAGAGUGGAAUUCCUGGUGUAGCGGUGAAAUGCGCAGAUAUCAGGAAGAACACCCGUGGCGAAAGCGGCUCUCUGGAACGGUACUGACGCUGAGACGCGAAAAGCGUGGGGGAGCGAACAGG